AGUACGUUUCAAUAAAAUCGAUUUAUUAAAGUUCAUUGUUAAAUUGGAAGCUUGUGAUUUCCCUACAAAUCAUUUUCUGGUUGUAAACAGAUGGCCAAACAAUUUCGGAAGUUUUGAAAGUUGGGUUUAAAGGAAAAAAUAAAAAGUAAAAAAAAUCAUCGAUUUGAAUGAUGUCUUCUUGUAAUCUUCUCUGUCCAGAUUUCAUCCGUGAAAUAUUCCAUCAAUUUCAUGAAGACCUGCCCCCUGAGCUAAAGCCGCAGAAAACGAAAAAGAAAAACAAACGACCAGCAAUCCAUCUGAAGGCUCGCAAAUUGAAAAUGUCGAAGAACAAGAUAGGAGUAAUAACUUCAUGAAUUUGUUGUCCGAUUACGAGUAAAUUGAGUUAUUAUUGUUAAACAUUCAUCUUUUUGAAAAAUAUUAAAAUAUUCAAAAAAUUG